rnacentral:rRNA from 1 species
CACGUAGGGACCAAGCGUUGUCCGGAUUCAUUGGGCGUAAAGAGCUCGUAGGCGGUUCGAUAAGUCGGGUGUGAAACCUCCAAGCUCAACCUGGAGACGCCACCCGAUACUGUCGUGACUAGAGUCCAGUAGGGGAGCGUGGAAUUCCUGGUGUAGCGGUGAAAUGCGCAGAUAUCAGGAGGAACACCAGCGGCGAAGGCGGCGCUCUGGGCUGGAACUGACGCUGAGGAGCGAAAGCGUGGGGAGCGAACAGG